UGGUGGAUGAGGUGGUUCUGACUGACUGACUGACUGACUGACUGACUGGUGGAUGAGGUGGUUCUGACUGACUGACUGGUGGAUGAGGUGGUUCUGACUGGUGGAUGAGGUGGUUCUGCCUGACUGACUGGUGGAUGAGGUGGUUCUGACUGGUGGAUGAGGUGGUUCUGCCUGACUGACUGGUGGAUGAGGUGGUUCUGACUGGUGGAUGAGGUGGUUCUGACUGGUGGAUGAGGUGGUUCUGCCUGACUGACUGGUGGAUGAGGUGGUUCUGCCUGACUGACUGGUGGAUGAGGUGGUUCUGCCUGACUGACUGACUGCUGGAUGAGGUGGUUCUGCCUGACUGACUGACUGGUGGAUGAGGUGGUUCUGCCUGACUGACUGACUGGUGGAUGAGAAGAUGACAUCUGAGACUAACGUUAAAAUCUUUGGGGUGAUGAAUAAUUUAUGAAAAACAAUUAAUUCUGUAUAAUAAAGUUUAAUCCAGUGUUUUCAGUCUCUUGGUGCAUGGUGUUCAAUUAAUCCAGUGUUUUCAGUCUCUUGGUGCAUGGUGUUCCAUUAAUCCAGUGUUUUCAGUCUCUUGGUGCAUGGUGUUCCAUUAAUCCAGUGUUUUCAGUCUCUUGGUGCAUGGUGUUCCAUUAAUCCAGUGUUUUCAGUCUCUUGGUGCAUGGUGUUCCAUUAAUCCAGUGUUUUCAGUCUCUUGGUGCAUGGUGUUCAACUGGGUUGGUGGUCAAGUGUAGACUGAUGUUUCAUACUCAUUUGCAUUUCAUUUUUAAUUCGCCUAUUCCAUCAAUCUUUUUUAUUUUAAACAAAAAACAUUUUUUUUACGUGAGAAGUGGGCAUUGGUCUGAGACGGUUUUUCUUUUUUCAGCAGACCGCUUUGACCUACUACAGUAGCUAUGUUGAUCUAAUGUACUCCAAACUAUGUGUAGGCAGGUUGCUUAGGUGUCAAACCUUAUCAAACAGCCGAAAUCAUAGUCUUAGAGGAGGUGCUCCCACAAUCGUGAUUCGUACCCCAUACAAGGUAAAGAACUGGAUUCUUCACACAACUCACUAAUCCCAUUCAUUACCUUUUCAAGCUUUUUUAAAUGAUAUUAAAGCUUUGCUUUUAUACUUACAA